rnacentral:rRNA from 1 species
UACGAGUGCCCCAAGCGUUAUCCGGAAUUAUUGGGUGUAAAGGGUGCGUAGGUGGCCAUAUUAGUCUUGUGUUAAACCCUGGGGCUCAACCCCAGAUCUGCACAGGAAACGGUAUGGCUAGAGGGUGUGAGGGGUCUGUGGAACUCAUGGUGUAGGGGUGAAAUCCGUUGAUAUCAUGGGGAACACCAAAAGCGAAGGCAGCAGACUGGCACAUUCCUGACACUGAGGCACGAAAGCGUAGGUAGCGAAUGGG